UCUAAUAUGGCAGAUUAGUGCAAUGGAUUUAAACCCCAUAUAUAAAGAACUCCUUUUUUUAGAA
rnacentral:tRNA from 1 species